rnacentral:rRNA from 1 species
AGAGUUUGAUCCUGGCUCAGGAUGAACGCUAGCGGCAGGCUUAAUACAUGCAAGUCGUGGGGUAUCCCGCUUUCGGGCGGGAGAGACCGGCAAACGGGUGUGUAACACGUACGCAACCUUCCUUCGAGCGGGGAAUAGCCCAGGGAAACUUGGAUUAAUACCCCAUAAUAUGAUAGAAAGGCAUCUUUUUAUUAUUAAAGCUCCGGCACUUGAAGAUGGGCGUACGGCUGAUUAGGUUGUUGGCGGGGUAACGGCCCACCAAGCCUGCGAUCAGUAGCUGAUGUG